GCCUGGGUGGCUCAGUCGGUUGAGCGUCUGACUUCGGCUCAGGUCAUGAUCUCGCAGUUUGUGAGUUCGAACCCCCACGUCAGGCU
rnacentral:tRNA from 1 species